AACAAGCAAGUGCGUAUAUGGUUGGCCUAUCUCAGAGCGCUCCACGAUACAUCCCUGGCGCGAGCAGGCUACGCAAGAAAAUAAAGAAACGGGUAAAAGAAAAAAGAAAAACGCAACCUCCUCCUCAAUAGGUCACGCACGCAACCGCCUCCUACCCAGCAGUUCCCCCAAAUCUCGUUCCGAAUAGGCAGGGCGCAGGUGGCGGCGAUGGGGGUCGAAGCCUCGGAGGAGAAGGGAGAUGCUGGCGGUGGAGGUCAAAGGAGAAGGGAUCUGGGCGGCGCUCGCGAACGGAGGUUGGGGCAGGCACUGGUCGAGGUCGGAAAGAUGGGAGAUGGGGGAAGGCAGUGGUUGAGGUCGUAGAUGGGUGGAUGUGGGGGCAUGCAGCGGUGGAGGUCGGAGGAGAUAUGAGGAGGGUGGCGCGGGAUCGAGGAAGCUGUGGAGGAGGGCGGCAACAACGACGAGGAGGUGGGAAGAGAGCGGCGACGGCGGAGGUGAGUGGAGUAGACGAGUGGGAAAAAUUUCUGCGGCUCCACCACUUUCUUUCCCCCGUUCAUCACAGCGAGCAGAGGCGAUGACUACAAGAUUGGUCCGUCCUUUCACCUGCCAUCGAUCUACCAUAAUUUCUCAAGAAUUUAAGUGGAUGGUUUAUGGGGUUAUGCAGUCAAUUGAAUCUUAGUAGAGCGAGCAGGCUAAGUUGCUUGACUUUGGAAGGAUAGUGAGAGCACCUUCCAGUCAUCACAUGGAAACAUGGUUGGGCACUUUGACUCAAUAGCCAUGACAAUGGAUGUGCAGCUUCAAGGCAUGAUAUCUUUGUUUGCCCUCCAUGUGCUUACUGUUUUUUCCUUCCGGCUGUUUGUUUAAGGUUCAGAAAUGAAGGAUGACAUGUUCUUUUAAAUCUUAGGCUAAGGACAUGAUCAUAAUGACAAAGAAGUCAUGAAAUUCAUUUAUUUCAGCGGUAAGAGAAGGAUUCACGUGAGGAGACAAAUAGUGGGUGUCGAGACCAGCAACCUUGCUGUCUCCACACCAUCUCCAGGGUGCGCACCCACAACUCACCUUGGAUUAUUAAGGCGAGUUUCCCUCUCUGAUGCAUUUCCACUUUAUGCUUUAUGUUAUUUCAUAAUGAAUUUUGGGUUCAUGCUUACGUUAUAGCAAUGGCACACCAUUUUAUCAUGCAAAUGAACAGGUUAUACUAUCCUAUAGUAUUACUGCCCCGUGAUGAUUAAUUACGAGAACAACGAUAAAUAUGAUGCACCUGUUUUUUCUAAUAAUGAUGGCUGUAUAUAGUUUCAUGUUUUUUUUUGAAAGGAAUACGGUAGGGGAAGCUCCUACAGUGUUUUUUUUAAUAAUAAGAACCCAAUUCCGCGUCAGUGGAGACUUGAACCUGGGUGGCUGGGUUGUACAUCCACUUCCCUAACCAAAUGAGCUAGGCUCACUUCUUUUUCAUGUUUUUUCUUGCUAUGGUAAAUUCUGGGCUGUGAUUUCUUUGUCGCAUGAAGACAUUAGAAAAUUCUGAAGCGCCUUUCCCUUUUGUCUUUGCAAUAGUUUGUUGGACGCUCAUGAGCGACAAUGCUAGCGAGGCUGCUCAAGGAACAUAUUUGGUUGCUACGAUUCAUAAAAUUUGAUGGGUAUAUUAGGUUACACUUAGAUUUGGAUGUACUAAUUUAUCUUUUUUUGUUUAUCUUUAUUUACACUGGCUCAUACAACUUUAUGGAUAUGAAACUAUUUACUCUUGUGUUACCUGAUCUGAAAAUCUUCCCUUGAUAUGCGGGUUUACUACUAUUUUACAUUCUGGGUUCAUUCUGAUCCAACCUAACUGACCAAAUGGAUUUGACGUGUUAUUCAUGUCAGGUUAGUGUGUGUCUUCAUUUGUGGCAAACCACAAAUAACCGAAUUGUAUAAAUAGAGUCCUACCUGAUAGCCUUAUUUCUCAUGUCGCUCAAGCUGCUGUUAUUUUAUUUUGGCUGCAGUAAAGUGUUCGUAAUUUCCCCCACUAUUAUUUUUUUGCAUUAUCUACUAAUAAAUUUUCUUGUAGGAUAUUAUUAAAAAUAAUCAAUUUACAAAUUGAUUAGUGGUUUACUGCAAGGCAAUAAUCCCUAAACUGAAAUCACCUUGGCUGCAAAGUUUAAUAACUUUUCUUGUUAUCUUCUUCACUAACAGGUGCUAUAGGAGAUAAGGAGUUUCUUAUUUACUAUUCUGGCAUUCUGAGAAGUUGUUCCAUGGGAAGAAGGAGCUCCAGUUUCAUGAUGCAUACGAAGAGAUUAUCCACCAGGUAUAUUUCACUUGCGCGAGGAGCUCCAUUUGAUGAAACAGGUUAAGGCAUCAUCCACCAUGUAUAUUUUGCUUCUGCAUAAGCUUCAACCAGUUUUAUCUACAAUUGUCUUUAUUUUUGUCUCCAAUAUAUCUUAUUUGCUGGCUACGAAGUACCAGUUGAUAUAUCACUUGUAUUACUUUCCGGAUUGUCCGGCUGCCAAAUCCACAUUUCUCGCUCUACGGACAUGCCAAGGCAUCAUCCGCCAUGUAUAUUUUGCUUCUGCAUAAGCUUCCAUCAGUUUAAUCUACAUUGGUCUUCAUUUUCUCACAAGAUAUUUUUCUCCCAACGUACACAUUUCCUCUCCAAUUUAGUUUAUCUGUUGGUUACGAAGUACCAGCUGAUAUAUCACUUGUAUUAUUACUUUCCAGAUCAUCUGACAGGCUGCCAAAUCUACGCUUUUUUUUUUCUCUAGGGCGUCUGUUCAGCCACAAUGGACUUUGAUUGUUGAAUACUCAAAAACUUCUUGCAUUCAUCAGAGCCAGCUCCAAAAAAGAGAGGUAAUCACACAUAUCAUACCUUGUCGAUAUCAUUAUUUUAUGAAAACACAUGAAAGUUAGUGGCAUGGUUAUUGAGUUGCUGUAUAGUCGCGGUAUAGUCGCUGUAUAGUCACCGAGUCGUUUUCCAAAAAUGGUGGCGACUCGCGACUAUACAUGUUUUUUGGUCGAUUAUACAUGAGUCGCAGGGUUUGGCGACUCACUUUUGAGUCGCGACUCAAAAACCAUGGUUAGUGGUAAUGCUUGAUGUGUGAGUGCAUUUCCUAAUACUUUUCAUUGAAUUAAUCAUUCUUUGAUGUGCUUUAUGCUAUUUGGUUGUUCUUUCUCCAAACAAAAUAGAUAAAAAAUGUCUAUCUUGGAGGCACAGAGUUAUUUGAGAAUGUCUUUUUGGGAGCACCUAUUUGGUGAAAAAGGUUUGUGGUUUGUUUCUCCACUCUUAUAUACAGUUUAAUUCAUCCUCCAAAUAAUUCGUCAUGGCUCAUUUGUACACACUACCAUACUACUUUUAGUUUCUGAAAAAAUACUCUCUUGUUGUUUAAAUGCUUUAGUGAUCAUCUUAAUAUCAAUUACUGCUGAUAAGCUGCUGUGCAAAUAAUCAAUAACUUCACCUGUUAUGGUAAGUUCGCUGGUCCCAGAUAUUCCUAAAAUGCUAAAUCAUUUGUUUGGUUGAUGUAGAUUUUAGUUUUUGUUUAUUGUCCGUAUUGAUAAUAGUAAUAGAAUUGUUGAACUUUCUUCCAAAACUAAAUUAUUAUCUCUUCUGAAGUUCAAGGUUUACCGACGAUGUCUCUUUUUGAAGUUACACCCGUGCAUCUGGAGGUCUGCUCUUUCAGUAUAAUUGCUCAAGCUCUUCGCCAAGCAUGUCUUGCUUUUGUAGCUAUUUUCAAUUUAUGUUGCAAAAUGCUGCAAAAUGUAAACAUGUACAUAUUCUUUUGUAAUACGUUCUGGUUGCUUCGCGCUCCAUAAUUUCAUGAUAUGUCUGUUCCA